rnacentral:snRNA from 1 species
GAACAAAGAAAUGUGGCUGCAACAUCUGUCACCCCACAGAUUGCCAGGGUGGAUUCAGCUGAUCUGGUUGGCUAGGCAGAUGUCCCCUUCCUCCCUCACCGCUCCAUGUGUGUCCCUCCUGAAGCUGUGCACCUGGUUGAAGGGGACAGAUGACCUUCCCCAACAGAAAGGGGACUGUCCCUCAGUCAAGGGUACAUGAGUAGCCAUAGUUCCCUGCUAGAAAAUCCAAACACGCUCUCAAGAACAAGGAAAUGGUCUGAAAUUGAUAUGUGAUGAUUGCAGAGCACUUCUUGAUAUGAUUAAGUUAUUGCAUUGCAUGUUAUUAGAAUAUGUCCCAA